UACAGGGGGUGCAAACGUUGCUCGGAAUUAUUGGGCGUAAAGCGCGCGUAGGCGGCUACUUAAGUCGGAUGUGAAAGCCCCUGGCUCAACUGGGGAAGUGCACCCGAAACUGAGUAGCUUGAGUGCAAAAGAGGGCCGCGGAAUUCCCGGUGUAGAGGUGAAAUUCGUAGAUAUCGGGAGGAACACCGGCGGCGAAGGCGGCGACCUGGGUCGAUACUGACGCUGAGGCGCGAAAGCGUGGGGAGCAAACAGG
rnacentral:rRNA from 1 species